AUGAAUAUCGUCACGGGUGCCAUGGGCAGCCUGCUCCCCAAGCUGGGUCAGCUGCUCAUGGAUGAGUACAACCUGCACAAGCGCGUCAAGAAAGAUGUCGAGUUCCUCAGGAAGGAGCUUGAGAGCAUGCACGCUGCCCUCAUCAAGGUUGGCGAGGUGCCGCCGGACCAGCUCGACGGGCAAGUCAAGCUCUGGGCCGACGAGGUCAGAGACCUCUCCUACAACAUGGAGGAUGUCGUUGACAAGUUCCUCGUACGCGUGGAUGGCGACGGCAUUCAGCUGCCUCACGACAACUCCAGCAGAUUCAAGGAGCUCAAGAACAAGAUGAUCGGCUUGUUCAAGAAAGCCAAGAAUCACCAUCGCAUAGCUGACGCGGUCAAGGAAAUCAAGGAGCAACUCCAGGAGGUGGCUGCUAGGCGUGACAGGAACAAGGUAGUUGUUCCUAAUCCUACGGAACCAAUUACUAUCGAUCCUUGUCUUCGAGCUUUGUACGCAGAAGCGACGGAGCUAGUUGGCAUAUAUGGGAAGAAGGACCAGGAGCUCAUGAGGUUGCUCUCCAUGGAGGGUGAUGAUGCCUCUAAGAACAGACUAAAGAAGGUCUCCGUUGUUGGAUUUGGCGGAUUAGGCAAGACCACUCUUGCUAGAGCAGUAUACGACAAGAUUAAAGGUGAUUUUGAUUGUCGGGCAUUUGUUCCGGUUGGGCAGAAUCCUGAUAUGAAGAAGGUUUUAAGGGAUAUCCUCCUUGAUCUUGGCAACCCUCAAUCAGAUCUUGCUAUGCUGGGUGCCAAUCAGCUCAUCAAAAAGCUUCAUGAAUUCCUAGAGAACAGAAGGUAUCUUGUGAUAAUUGAUGAUAUAUGGGAUGAAAAACUGUGGGAAGGCAUUAGCUUUGCUUUCUCCAACAGGAAUAAUCUAGGCAGUCGGCUAAUAACCACAACCCGCGAUUUCGAUGUCUCCAAAUCAUGUUGCUUAUCGGCUGAUGAUUCAAUAUAUAAAAUGAAAUCUCUUUCUACUGAUGACUCCAGAAGGCUCUUUCAUAAGAGAAUAUUUCCUGACGCUAGUGGAUGCCCAAGUGAAUUUCAACAAGUGUCUGAAGACAUAUUGAAGAAAUGUGGUGGAGUACCACUGGCCAUCAUUACUAUUGCUAGUGCUUUGGCUAGUGGCCAGCAAGUGAAACCAAAGCAUGAGUGGGAUAUUCUACUCCAGUCCCUUGGCUCCGGAGUAACAAAAGAUAAUAGUUUGGUUGAGAUGCGGAGAAUACUAUCUUUCAGCUAUUAUAAUCUACCGUCUCAUCUGAAAACUUGUCUACUAUACCUAUGUAUAUAUCCAGAAGAUAGCACCAUUGAUAGAGAUAGACUGAUAUGGAAGUGGGUGGCCGAAGGAUUUGUCCACCAUGGAGAUCAAGGGACCAGCCUGUUUUUGGUCGGAUUAAACUACUUCAACCAACUCAUUAAUAGAAGUAUGAUCCAGCCAAUAUAUGAUAAUAUAGGCCAGAUAUAUGGUUGCCGUGUACAUGAUAUGGUUCUUGAUCUAAUCUGCAACUUGUCACAUGAAGCAAAGUUUGUUUAUGUAUUGGAUGGUACUGGGGAUAACAUGUCUUUUCAAGGCAAUGUUCGUCGUUUGUCCAUUCAAGACAGAAAUAAAGAUCAUCAAGGCACACCUCUCACAGAUUUCAUGGGUAUAUCACGAGUAAGAUCCAUUACUAUCUUUAAAUCUGCUAUUAAGAUCAUGCCAACCCUGUCAAGGUUUGAAGUUUUGCGUGUACUUGAUUUGUCGGCCUGUAACCUGAGAAAAAGUAGCAGCCUGGAAGGUGUUGGACACCUAAUUCACCUGAGAUACCUUGGUCUAUCAGGUAUUGGAUUCAGGGAACUCUCGACUGAGAUAGGAAAGUUGCAAUUUUUGGAGGUGUUGGAUCUUAGAAUCAAUAAAUACCUAGAUGAAUUGCCGUCCACUCUUUGUAAUUUGAGAAGAUUAAUCUGCCUAAAUGUUUGUCCCUGUAAGCUGGUUCCAGCAGCUGGUGUGUUGCAGAAUCUGACAUCCAUAGAAGUGUUGAGGGGGGUCUUGAUCUCUCUGAACAUUAUUGCACAAGAAUUUGGCAAUCUGGCAAGGCUAAGGAAGCUUCAUAUUGAGUUCAAGGAUGGUAGUUUGGAUUUGUAUGAAGGUUUCGUUAAUUCUCUGUGCAACUUACAUCGUAUUGAAAGUCUACGUAUUGAUUGCAAUUCCAGAGAAACAUCUUCUGAACUGAUGGAUCUCUUGGGAGAACGUUGGGUGCCUCCUGUACAUCUCCGUGAAUUUGAGUCUUGGAUGCCCAGCCAACUCUCUACACUGCGAGGGUGGAUAAAGAGAGACUCCUCACAUCUCUCGAACCUCUCUGAUUUAAUCCUCAAUUCAGUGAAGGAAGUGCAACAGGAGGACGUGGAAAUCAUCGGGGGGUUGCUGUCCCUUCGCCGGCUCUGCAUAAGGAGCACCCACCAAACACAGCGGCUGCUAGUCAUCCGUGCAGAUGGGUUCCGCUGUAUGGUACAGUUUGAGUUGAAUUGUGGGUCAGCGACGCAGCUAAUGUUUGAACCAGGAGCUUUGCCGAGGGCGGAGGCAGUUGAGUUCAGCCUGGGCGUGCGGGUGGCGAAAGAGGAUGGUAAUUGUGGUUUCGACUUGGGCCUGCAGGGGAACCUGCUCUCCCUUCGGCGGUAUGUCAGGGUUUGGAUGUAUUGUGGUGGAGCGAGGGUUGGGGAGUUCAAGGAAGCGGAGGCUGCGGUGAGGUGCGCCCUCGAAGCCCAUCCCAACCAUCCCGCGAUUGAAAUUAACAUGUUCGCAUAUAGUAUAGCAGAAGGUGCUCAUGAUGACGAUUUGUGUGAGGAGAACUGA
rnacentral:rRNA from 1 species